UCAGUGUAAAAAAAUUCGAUGUCUCCAAAAAUUCAGUGUAAAAAUAUUCAGCGCGGACAUCCGGGGUAACCAAGGGAGAAGUAAUCGAUCCCUGUAUCAAAUCAUCCAACGUUCAGCCAAUCAAGUUACGCUCCAUUGGUCAUGUGACGUCGAAACAGGAACGUCGUGAAGUUCAAAAGUGAGCUCCGGUCAGAGCUCAGGAUGGCCCAAAACACAAAUAAUAACGCUUCGGAACUCCUGCUUUAUCAUCUUUUAGAAAGACUUCGCUCUCGAUUGGAGCAUAUUCUGGGACGCAUGCCUCUUGAUCUGGACUUCUUAGAGUUCACUUGCACACAAGAACUUGUGUUAUUAAAUGCUGUAUCCAGUCAAGUAACUGUUUGUCCAGCUAUUCUAGACUCACUGACACAGCUACACAGUCUUAUCAAUCUGGAAAAAGACAAAAGGGAGCAACACAUUGCAGUUGUGCAGUUUGAGCAAGGACCGGCUGGGCGACAAAGAAUGGUCAUAUCCCCAGAGUACCUUAGCAAACCUUUGGAACUUAAUCUGUCUGUUCCAUGUAUAGCUAAACUUUUGGGGAUGUCCAGGCGCACAGUAUACAGACGCAUGGCUGAGUCUGAUCUCUCAGUUAAGGCAUUAUACAGCACUAUGACUGAUGAAGAGUUAGAUCAGUGUGUAAGAGAGAUUAAGUCGAGGCAGCCUCACUCUGGAUAUCGGAUGGUGAAGGCCCUUCUGCAAGCCAGAGGACUGAGGGUGCAGUAUAACCGCGUCAGAGCCUCCAUGCACCGUGUUGACACCACUGGUGUCAUAAGCCGCAUACAAACCAUAAAUUAAUUCGGUAAAUUCUUAUCAAGCAAUGUUUUUGGCAAAAUGCAUACAUUCAAAGUGUGUUUGUAAAGUAUUUGGUAGUUAUCAGUAUGCUCCAUAACACAUUUUUUAUACUGCUGCUUUCAUGUUACUGCAUAUAUAUUAUUAUAUAUAUUAUAUAUUUUAACAUCCAAUCUUGUCUUACAAGGCUACAGGCCAAAUGUCUCACACAAGACCAAAUCCUGUAUGGCAACUGUAAAUACAGGCCAGGAUGUCACAUUUAAAAGAUGUGUAAUCCUUGUAAUGCCCUGGGAUGCGCAGGGUCUCAAAGCAAGUGGAGGCUGUGGGGUAUCUAUGUAUGUAGGAAAACAGAAAUAACAAGAUUGAAAACAGUUAACCUCAGGGCUGAAAUUUCCUGCUCCCUCUUCAGGAAAAAGCAAAGCCACUGUGUCUGGUCUUUGGGUCAACAGUGUCCACAUUGGCGUUUCUUUAAGACCUCGUCUCAGCUGCUUAAUUUGCCUUGUGACACGUCCUAUUACCUGUUAAUAUUAAUAAGACAGAGAGGAUAGAACACAAGAUUCUUCAUCUAAAAGCUUGAAGAGUAACAUAGAAAAAGAAUAAUUCCAUUUUAAUACAUUUAUUAUGCUUCAAUCCUCGAGUGAAUGUGGAAAUAAUACUUUUCUCUUGCAGACUGAUACAAUUCCUUGUAUUUGCAGUAUUACAGACCACCCACUAUCUUUUAUGUUUCAGAGAAAAUAACUUGGUACAACUUGGUAAAGUAAAUCACCUAGUAGUAGUUUGCUGUUAAACAAACGGUGAGUCAGAUAUUUCUUGCCAGCCACAUCAUAACAUCGGAACAGAGUACUAAAGAGCGCAGUACCGAGCGCCAUGUUACCAUGGUAAACAUGCUAAUAUAACGCUAGCUCAUAGCUAGCAAACUUUUAAGGAACACCACUUCAUUAAAAGUUCCCUGUGUAGACAUUGUUCAACAAAUUCUGUUAAGGUGUCCGGUAAAUAAAAUACUGACUUUUACGAACACAAAAGGUAAAUAAAGAGUACACUCACCGAA